rnacentral:misc_RNA from 1 species
AAAUAAUACAAAGAAUUCGAUCUCUCUUUAAAUUCUCUCUCUUGCCCUUUCCUCUUCCUGUGCAUCUCUUUUUGUCUCUUCUCCUUCUUCCUUUCUUCCCCUCUUUCUUCUAUUUCCUUCCCCCUUUCCUCUGUUUUCUGUUUGGGUUGCGGCUCUGCCACAACAAUUGGUGUCAGAUCAACAAGAUCCAACGAUCGCAGAGUUUGCGAAUUUGAAGUUGGCGAAGAAAAAGCAAAACAUGGAGGACCCUAGGAUCCAGAUUCUUGCGGACCACUUGCAAUCUUUGGAGCAGAGGUUUCAAGAUGUGAAACAAGAAAUGCGUAAUCUCAAUCAGGAAAUGCAUUUCAAGUUUGAGAGUUGUACAAAGAGGUUGGAGGACUUGAUAAUGGAGAAGAACCGAAAAAGUCGAGAAGAAUUGAAUUGCAAAUUUGAUCAAUUGUUGGAGAUGACUGGAGCUUCGCAGUCGAGGAGAAAGGAACCUGUGCUUCCAACUGUUCCUCAGGUAAUCUUGGAACCCAAUUCGAAUGUGAAUGGAACUAUCGAUAUUUUGCCUUUGCCAAAUUCUGGGGUUAGAGAAGCUGGGGAUUCAAGAAGCUACUAAUAUUGAUUCUGGAUUCAUGGACGUUGAUGAACAGAAUCUUGAAAAAAAAAUUAAUAUAAUUUUUGCCCUUAAAUCUGAUGAAAUUGUUGAGAAUAAUUAUGGAGUGUUGGAUAAAUUUGAUUUUACUCCGAGAAAAUUUACAUCAGAAUUAUUUUCUUGUUGACGAGCUUGUUCUUAAUAAGGGAAGAAAUGAACCUGUCAAAGGAAGUUGUGAAAGAACCCAUCAGUCUUGUGGCGGAUGUGAUUUGGAAUUGCAAUUGAAUGAUCAUUGGGUUUGAAAUGUGGAGAAGGCGAAGGAAGAAGAUGAAUCUUGUCAAUGUAGGACCUCUGCCAUGAGGGUGUUUGAAAAAUGACUAGGUUGCCUUUCUUGAAGUUGCAGUGUUCAGAUUCAGCAAUUAUGAAAAAAGAGGAAAUGAUGGAGUAGCAGACUGCGAAUUUUGUUUUUCAAUCUCAGUUUAUUCUUGAGGACAAAGGAUGAUCUUCGUGGGGAGGGUAAUGUUAGCAUUGUUGUAGUUGUGCUAGUAUAAAUAUAGAAAUUGAGUUGUAAUUUCGAUAUCAAUCAAAUAAUACAAAGAAUUCAAUCUCUCUCUUAAUUCUCUCUAUUUCCCUCUCCCUCUUUAUCUCGCUGUCUCUUCUUCUUCUUCUUCGUGUUCUUGAGAUGUACAGAGACAAAGGGCAGUGGAGAAGCAAUUAAUAUAUAGUGCAAAGUGAGAUUUUUCCUUUAAAGAAAAAAUAUUUCUUUUUCUCUUCUUUUAAUGAGA